rnacentral:rRNA from 1 species
GGAAGUAAAAGUCGUAACAAGGUCUCCGUUGGUGAACCAGCGGAGGGAUCAUUACCGAGUUUACAACUCCCAAACCCAAUGUGAACCUACCUAUAUCGUUGCCUCGGCGGGACAGCCCCGGGUUUGCCUCUGCGCCCCGGAACCAGGCCCCCGCCAGAGGACCCCCAAACUCUGUUUUGUUUUGGUCUCUUCUGAGUCUUUGCCUUCCGGCAAUGAAAAAAAUACAAUCAAAACUUUCAACAACGGAUCUCUUGGCUCUGGCAUCGAUGAAGAACGCAGCGAAAUGCGAUAAGUAAUGUGAAUUGCAGAAUUCAGUGAAUCAUCGAAUCUUUGAACGCACAUUGCGCCCGCCAGUAUUCUGGCGGGCAUGCCUGUUCGAGCGUCAUUUCAACCCUCAGGACCCCCUUUCGGGGGGACCUGGCGUUGGGGAUCAGCGGCACGACGGGGUGUUUACCACCCCCGGAAGCUGGCCCCGGAAUACAGUGGCGGUCACGCUGCAGCCUCCUAUGCGUAGUAACAUACACCUCGCACCAGGGACUCUGCGCGGCCACGCCGUAAAACCCCAUCUUGUUUUAAUGGUUGACCUCGGAUCAGGUAGGAAUACCCGCUGAACUUAAGCAUAUCAAUAAGCGGAGGA